UACGGGGGAUGCAAGCGUUAUCCGGAAUCAUUGGGCGUAAAGCGUCCGCAGGUGGCAAUUCAAGUCUGCUGUUAAAGACAGAAGCUUAACUUCUGAUAGGCAGUGGAAACUGGAUAGCUAGAGUACGGUAGGGGUUGAGGGAAUUCCCAGUGUAGCGGUGAAAUGCGUAGAUAUUGGGAAGAACACCAGUGGCGAAGGCGCUCAACUGGACCGUAACUGACACUCAGGGACGAAAGCUAGGGUAGCGAAAGGG
rnacentral:rRNA from 1 species